rnacentral:lncRNA from 1 species
AUAUGCUAAAUAAAUUACCAAAAGAAACCAGAAUGCUAAAGCCUGUUACAUUUUCCUCUCUUUACUCUCAUUUCAGAGAUUACCUGUUCAAGUGCACAGACAGUUCAGCGGUGAUUCGCGCUUCUGUCUGCAGAGAACAGCACAUUGCGGUACCUCUCCGUGACCUCUCAGGACGAGCUUUUGGGUUAUUUGAUAUCAGCAUCGCACACCGCCAGAAAUUACCACCUCAUGAACACAAAGACCUGCAGAAAAUGCUGAAGGUGGCCCAAGCUGCCUGCUCUGAGAUACUGAAGGUGUCUUCAGAGGAAACAGAACCAACCGAUGUACUGGGUAUUGUGCAUACAGAGCCAAAAUAGAUUUUUUAGGGGUGAAUCUCAGUAAAACCACAUCUAAAAUAUAAUUCCGACAAAUACAAACCUUUGGUACAUGUAGACUACUCCUGAGCAAACCUAAGUUAAACAGAAUGUUUAGAUUUUGGCUCUAGUUCACAGGAUUUUUUUGUGCCUGAGUCCCACUGAAAUCAAAGGUGUAAAGCAAGGUACUUUGUUGCCUUCAGAGAUCUAGCAUGUCCUCCUCAGACCCGCCCCAACUAAGAUCAAAAGAAUUUGAAUGUCACAGUUGUAGCUGCAUGCUUGAAUCCUUCAUGGACCUCUGCUUGCCCCUCAGGCAAAUUUUGUCUCUUCCUCAACUACUUACCCAUUUUUAGAAGUUUCAUGGGAUACUUGGGCUGUAUACAAACCAAUCACUCAGUCAAGGAGACAAAGAGUUAAUCAUAAAGAGGGCAGAGCCUUUCAGUCAAUAAGUCUUGAGUAGCAGAUGUUUCUGAGAAACAUCUUGAAAGGUUUGCUUUUGAUUCCAGAGGCAGAACAUGUGGCAAAUUCAAGACAUGCAGGGAUUCUGUUCCACCAGUUCAUGCUGCAGGACCUGUGCGAGUGCAUCCAGAAACUUGAUGCUGAGAGCUUUGCUGAAAUGAAGAGCUAUGUAGAACCUCCAGCUCUGGUACAUAACACAGUUAAGGCUGUGCUGUUGCUUCUCCAUCCAAACUGGAAGGGCUCAGAGGAGACUGAAAACUGGAGUCAGUGUAAACUGAAACUUGAUGACAAUUUGAUUCAGGAGAUUUAUUGCUUCGAUCCAACUGCUGCAUCUGUGCAAGUUCAAGCAGAGCUGCUGCUGGGCUGCAUCACAGGUAAAUCUUGUCAACUAAUUGUGAGAUUACCAGGCAUGGCUCAGUAAUGAAACAGUGUCAGCGGCAACCUUCAGCUGAGUGCUUUUAAGGUCCUUACUUCAGAAAUUAACUUUGAAUCACAACAGAUUAAACAACAGAUAAGGGUUCCUAAAUAUCUGCAGUCUUUUUUGGUCAAUAAAAGUCAUCCUGUUAAAUUUAGAAUCA